rfam:Lysobacter capsici AZ78 unitig_0_1_merged, whole genome shotgun sequence.
GAAGUAGGCCAGGCAGUCGCGUCAUCGGGUCGCAAGAUCCGGUGCCGAGGAAAGUCCGGGCUCCACAGGGCACGGUGCCAGGUAACGCCUGGGCGGCGCGAGCCGACGGAAAGUGCAACAGAGAGCAGACCGCCGAACGGCCCGCGAGGGUGCGUGGUAAGGGUGAAACGGUGCGGUAAGAGCGCACCGCGAGUCUGGCAACAGACCGGCACGGCAAACCCCACCGGGAGCAAAACCAAAUAGGGAGACUAUGUCGCGGCCCGCGAUGUCUCCGGGUAGGUUGCUUGAGCGUAACGGUGACGUUGCGCCUAGAGGAAUGACUGUCCACGACAGAACCCGGCUUAUCGGCCUACUUCGUGC